UAAGAAAGAGCUUUUCCUUCUUAUUAUAUCAGUAUGAACUGAUGGAUUCUUAUUUUAUUCAAUGAGUUUUAAUCAAUCUGCUGUGUAUUCAUUUUGAUGCUCAAAUUGUCUUCGAUUUGGCCAGUGGGAGCCCCUUCAGGCUAUCUCCCAUGUGCUUUGACACACCCUCAUCGUGUUCUUGGCACUUCUACUUUCUGGCAUAACAGGAUAUUCUAGGCUCAUCUUGACCAGACUCUGGGAUCAGCCAUCUCUCCAAGGAGCCCUCGUUCCUUUUAAUGGGAAUUGGUAUUUAGAAACCAGGUUCUGGAUGACAAGUUGAUUCUUGAGUGCUCGGUCUGCUUUUGGCUUGUCAUGUGUGUUCACCGCAUUUAUUUUUAGCCUUUGAUAGUGGGUGGAGAGAGCCCCAAAGAACAUAGUAUACAAAUUCUAUUGCCUUUAGUGGCUCCCUGUGUUUUCUUUAUCUUCAUUGUUCCUUUCUGUUUUUUUGAGAUUUAUAGACCCUGGUCAUAAAGAAAGCACUUACCUGUGCGCAUGUGUUAUGUGUGUGUGUAUGCAAAGGGGAAUGUUGAUAGGAAUGUAUCUCCCUGUAGAGAGAUACUGGUUUUUAUUUUUUUUAAGAAUUGUAUCAAAGUGAUUUACUUUUUUAUAUUUAUAUUUUUCACUAACAGCUUCUCUGUAGUAAUGCAGCUUUUGUUAGAUGUGACAUUAUUUUUUCAGAUAAAAUGACGUCAGGUGGAAUUUUAAAGUUAAAAAUCUGUAGUGUAUCUGUUAGCAUAAAAGCGAAAUAUGAUCCUUUGGUAAAUUAAAUUGGAAAAAUUGUUUCUGUUUGCCAUUUUAAGAAUUUAGUUGGGCCAAACGUUUUAUACAUAUGUGUACACAUACAUACAUACGCAUAAACUUGGAAAAUUUCUUUUAUAGGAAAGGAAAUUGAGGUUUAAAGGGGUCCAGUCCAACUCACGUAGCUAGUCAUUGUCAAAGGGGAGAUAUAAACAAGGCUCUGUCUAUUUGUAUGAGAACUGCCAAUCAUUCUAUAGCAUUGUUCUUCAGAACUCUCAAAAGUCUACAGUCAAGGGGUUGCUGUGCUCUUCCCAUACAGCAGCUUAAGGCCAGGAGGUAGAAGAUGGUGAGGAUGGAGAACAGUUGCAAGUGAUAUCUGCUAGCAUGCAAAAAUAAGAACAGAAAAUGGGCCAAGAAGAGGAUCCCUUAUAGCCAGGCAGAAAUGUCUGUUAGAAUAUGCAGGAAAGAAUCACAGCAUCAUAGGACUUGAGUGAAUGUGAGCCCAGGGGAAGAUUAGUAGCAGUGAUUUUAUCAGAAGUGAGUCAUCUGACAGCUCUAAUCAGAAUCACCCCCUUUAUUAUAGCUGAGGUCAUCCAUGUGCUUUCUCUGAUGUGCCUGUUUCAAGAAGAGAUUGAUUCCAGACAAGUGAAACAUACCUGAAGAUUCUGGCCUGAAACAUUAUAAUUGACCUGACAAGAAAGUGAUCGGUGAGGACAACGUGGCUGUCCCCUCACACCUCUAUAAGGUGAUCCUGGCCCGCAGAAGCCCAGUGUCUACUGAACCGCUGGCGCUAGGGGCCUUUGUGGUGCCCAAUGAUGCCAUUGGCUUCCAACCGCAGUUAAGUGAAUUCCAAGUGAGCCUUCAGGACCUGGAGAAGUUAUCAGGACUGGUGUUUUUUCCUCAUUUGGAUAGAACUAGUGGUAUCAGGAAUAUCUGCUCUGUGGACACCUGUAAGCUCCUGGAUUUCCAGGAGUUCACUCUGUACCUGAGCACAAGAAAGAUUGAGGGGGCCCGAUCAGUACUCAGACUGGAAAAGGUCAUGGAAAAUUUGAAGAACGCAGGGAUUGAACCAGAUGAUUACUUCAUGAACCGCUAUAAGAAGAAGCUAGAAGAACUCAAAGCUAAGGAGCAGUCAGGAAUCCUGGAGAGAAAGCCAUCUUAGUUUUUUUCCUCAGAAGAUGUGUGAGAGCAUCUAUAAUGAAGCAGGUGUGUCCUCUUCAGGCUAAUGUGUUUUAGUGGCUUUGCUUUAAAGAAAUGAUGAAAUCCUAAAUUUCAGACUAAAUUUCUCCCCAAAAGAUGAAAGAUCUAAAAAAUUCUGUCAGUUUUUUAUUUGACAUGGGAACUCAUUAUUAAGGAAACUGUAAGACCUACAGAUUGGAUGCUGAUCUUGUGUCAGGUUCACAGAGGACUCUGACCACAAGAUGACGCUGUUUUUGUCUCUCUCUGGAUGUUCGUGUGUGAAGGCAUUUUGUUUUCGUGCCCCUGAAUCAUGCACUGUCUUUGAUGUAUCUGCUCAGUUUUCUUGGAGCCCAGUGUUGUAUGGGACCCUAGUUGGUCUUGGAGGUGGCUUUUAGAUAUCCUCUGUGUGCUGUCCUGUCCACAUGUAUUACUGUGUUACAUAUUCGUUUCUUGCUCCUUCUCUGACAGGCCUGCUGGCCCUCCAUUUCUGUCCUAUAGAAGCCCUCAGCAACAUUUUCUGCUCACCUAGUGUGUUCUGUAUACUAAGCUCAGUGCUUUACAAGUAUUAUCCUACAGCAACUCUCUGAGGUAAAUACCACUGUCCUCAUUUUACACGUGAGGAAAUGAAGCCUUAGGGAGUUUAAGUAUUUUGUCCAGGGUUCACCUUUCUGAAGAAGUAACCCACAGAGAUAGGAGGCAUGUGGGGCCAAGAAGAAAGACAGCAUGACGUAGAUUGAAAUAAUACAGAGGCUUUUGACUUAGAAAUGUAUACACAUAGGUAUUGGUGAUUCUGGGCCCCGCUUGCUAAGAGGGGUCUGGUUUCUUGUCUGCCAUCGAGCCAAAGGGUCUUGAGUAUCCUCUGACUUGAACCCUCCUUGUCUCUUUGGGAAGAAACAAUCACAGGUGUUUGAAAGUUAGAGGGCAUUGCUUUGUGGGGUUUAUCAGAGCCCCUACUUGCCUCUAGGGAUGCAGUUCUUUUAGUGACCGGAUGGUGCCAAAUUGCUAUGUUCUUUGCUUUCCAGGUGAGCAAUUUGUUCCAAAGGUUAAGGGACCUAAGAAGGGUCUGUGUCCACAGCUUCACCAGCUCAUGAUUUGCUUCCCUCUCGGGCCUGCUUGCCUACCUGGGUAGCACAGGGCAGGUGGUGCUUUGGGCCAAAGACUCAGACAAUUCUGAUUAUCUCUAAGGGAAACAGCAGCUGUUUUUCUGAGCCAGAUCUCUAGAUUGGGGUUUACACGGAAUUCUUUCAAGGGCUACCAUAAGUAAAGGCAGCGAAAUACCUUAAAAUAGGGCCCAGGAGCUUGUCUAAACGUAUUCUAGCUCUGCCGUCUUUCCAAGUGGUAUUACAAGAACAGUUUUUGUGGUGUUUUGUGUGUUUGUCUCUAACAGAAAUGCCAAGGCUUUAAGAUAAAGGUAGGUUGAUAAUGAUUGACUUUGUUCUGCUCCUUUAUUUGGAUAAAAAAGAAAGAAGUUGGGGGGUCAGAACACAGUAGCCUGAUUAAUACCAGUCUGUUUUAUCACACUGUUUGCCAUUAGCUUAUGCCAGUCCUCUUCUUGGGGAUAAAGAGCCAAAAUGUCACUGUGACCAAAAAAUCUGUUACUUUCUCUCAUUGGAGAGGUGAUGGUGGGGCCUCCUGGUGUGGUGUUUCUCCCAGAGCCUGAGGGGGUGGCUCUGUGGGAGAAGUCCUGGGUGCUUGGCGUGCAUCUCUAGAGGUGAGCCCCCAUCUCCUUUCCCCCACAUUUGGCUCCGUGUCCUGUUCUGGCCUGAAUUUUCUUCAGCCUUGGACUUAUUUCCCAUGCUCUUCUCACUCCUGCCCCUCCACCUAGAUGGUGGAGGAUCUUGAUAUUUAGAUAAUAAAUUGAAGUACCUUAGGUUUUUAGUAUAAAAAGUGCUACCUGGUAAUUGUGAAAAAUAGAGAUCCAUGCUUAUAAUAAAAGCGGUCUCCCAGUCUUCAUUUUAA